GGAAGAAGCACAUAGGGAAACCUGACCUGCUGGGAAAAAAAAGCGAAAAAUACAGCAAGUUUCCCUUCUAAUGGUUGUCUUUCUAAUAAGAAUGAUGCUAACCACUGCUUUCUGUCAUGGGACCAUGGUCUGGGCCUAAUUUUAACAGCUUCAGAUAUAACAGCUAUAUUUUAACAGCUUUAGAUAUAGGAAAUGCAGAAUGCAGGGAUGGGGAAGAGCUCAAGCAUUUCAGCAGAUACAGGAGAGCAACAUCUUCGUCCAUGAGCUCCCUGAGGGAACUGCUGAAGGAGCUCUGAGCGAGGGAGUUUGAGGAGGCAGAGAAAAGAGUUUGCUCAGAGAAGACAUAUUCUUACUGUUACUUGAAAUGAGUGAUCGGUUACGUGACGCCGUCUCACACAAACACUCAGGAAUGAGCUCUGCCCCAGGAUCAGUAAAUGCCCUGUUCCAUCUGAUACCAGUUUUUUUGCAAAUACAGAUCUUAUAAAGGUAUGCGAUGAUUUAAUCAGCAUCCUGCAGUUGCUUACAAUACACAGCAG
rnacentral:lncRNA from 12 species